rnacentral:lncRNA from 10 species
AUUGGAGAAACUGAUUAUUUUACCAAGACUUCGACUGGAUUGGUGCUUCACACAUCAUGCUUUCCUUUAAGGCAUCAAACUUGACUUGUAGAGCCAAUAAAAGCCCCCUGGGACAACUGGCCUCAUAUCUUGUCUACAUAGUCCCUGUACAGGGUUCCUGAGCUGUGCUAAAUAAAGAAUGUCAUUUCUGAUAGGUCCAGGAGCCCCAUUUUAUCUCAGGACCUCAAGAGGAGAGGAAUUGACCCAACUCAUACAGGAAGAGGUAACCACAUUUCUACCUGUAAUGAUGGCGAGGAAGAGGGCUGGUACUACAGGAGCACAAACAACAAAAGAGAGCACUAAGUAAGAUGAGUCUCAGGAAUGACAUGAGACACAAAUGCAAAUCCAUCUCCAGGCAGCUAAAGGAUUUGGUCUUUAUUGUCUGAAUGAUUGUAAGCCAUCAAUGGGAAUUUUUAAAAAUUUUAAUUUUAAUAUUGGUUGAAGCAUAAUUUAAACACCAUAAAUUUACCAAAUUUAAGUGUACAAUUGAAAGAAUUUUGAUGAAAGUAUAAAGUCAGGGAGCUAUCCCUGAAUCUUAAUGUAGAACAUUUUUAUCUCUCCAAAAUUCCAUCUACAGUUAUUCCAUUUUUACAAUCUCACACAAGUAGGAUCACACAGUAUGUUGCCUUUUAUGUCUGGCUUCAUUCACUUAUCAAAAUGUUUUGGAGAUUAUUCAGUUGUUACAUGUAUUGUAAUUCUAUCAUUUUAAUGAUAUUAAUACCUUGAUUAAUAGAAAUUUGCAUUACC